rnacentral:rRNA from 1 species
UACGUAGGGUGCAAGCGUUGUCCGGAAUUAUUGGGCGUAAAGAGCUCGUAGGCGGUCUGUCGCGUCGGCUGUGAAAACUCGGGGCUCAACUCCGAGCUUGCAGUCGAUACGGGCAGGCUAGAGUUCGGCAGGGGAGACUGGAAUUCCUGGUGUAGCGGUGAAAUGCGCAGAUAUCAGGAGGAACACCGGUGGCGAAGGCGGGUCUCUGGGCCGAUACUGACGCUGAGGAGCGAAAGCGUGGGGAGCGAAUGGG